rnacentral:rRNA from 1 species
AUUGAACGCUGGCGGCAUGCCUUACACAUGCAAGUCGAACGGUAACAGGUCUUCGGAUGCUGACGAGUGGCGAACGGGUGAGUAAUACAUCGGAACGUGCCCGAUCGUGGGGGAUAACGCAGCGAAAGCUGUGCUAAUACCGCAUACGAUCUACGGAUGAAAGCGGGGGAUCGCAAGACCUCGCGCGGACGGAGCGGCCGAUGGCAGAUUAGGUAGUUGGUGGGAUAAAAGCUUACCAAGCCGACGAUCUGUAGCUGGUCUGAGAGGACGACCAGCCACACUGGGACUGAGACACGGCCCAGACUCCUACGGGAGGCAGCAGUGGGGAAUUUUGGACAAUGGGCGAAAGCCUGAUCCAGCCAUGCCGCGUGCAGGAUGAAGGCCUCGGUU